CUUGAUCGCAAUGAGAACAGGAAAUAAUAGAGCGAAUAGUGACUUUUUACAAGAUAGGUAGAAACUCUUCUGAAUUGUAUAUUAUAUCUCAGUUGUGAACCACUUUUACUCUAGAUAUCCCUUCUUUUAUUCCGACUAUACCUCCAUCUCUCCAAAACCCUAUUGAAUACCGGAAUUAAUUUACUGAAUAACGCAUAGGGACUCUUAUGAUACAUGUAAAAUACUACGAUAAUGACCCACUUCCCUCAUGACUUACGACUUGAAUAUAUGGAAUUUUCAACUGAAAUAGGUAGGGGUUUUAGCUCAACAAAAUAGGUAGGUUGCGAACAAAUGUUUUAAGAUGGUCUUGAUCUCUUAAUAUCAAUGAGAAUGGGAAAUAAAAGUGCGAAUAGCGACUUCUCAGCAUGUUAGGUCGGGACUCUUCUGAUAUUUAUAUGACUUAAUAGUUAUGAACCGCUUUCCCUCGAGACCGUCUCCCUUAUAUAUCAACUGUGCCUCCUUCUCCCCUAGAGUGAUAUGAAACCCGGAAUUAGGUUACUGAUGGACGGGUAGGGACUUUUAUGUUUUCUUAUAUGUAAUAUUGACCCACUUCCCCUCGUGACAUAAGACAAGGAGACAAUGGAUCAUCAGCGAUGUCUCGCCCAUUGAACACCAAUAAUAGUGAUAGGUACAAGUGUUUGGAUAUGGCUCAACAUGUUCCUUAUAAUAUGCAGACGAUACCAUACACUAUACCUUAAUUUUCUUAUAAUCUGUCAUUUUUCCUUGCUGUGAAUGAAAACUUCUCUAAAAUCUACCACAAAUGAAUGACGAAAUUAUUUCAAACAUAGUAGGCUGGGCUCAAGGUGACAUUCAUGUGAGUUGUGUUUAAGUGAAAACUUUCAAGUAUCAAUAAUAUAAAUACAUAUUAAAAAUUCUCUGCAAAGUUCCCAUUUUAAAUUAACAAAUUAAGAGUGUCAACCUUCUCAAGCAACGACUAAGAACGACUUUAUAACAUGGACCACAAAUCAAAAAUGCAUUCUCCAAGGAAUAUGGAUAGGAAAUAUACAAAAAGAUUAUAAAUAUAAAAUAUGUACAUGAGCAAAACUAUUGCCUCAUAUCGGAAAUAGAAAACCAAUUCAGUUCCAGUUUCAAAUGGAUAAAAUGAUUAAAAGAAAUUUUAUUAUACAGGGCACAUAAUGUGAAGAUGUCUUUUUUCAUGCACAAUGAAAUAACAAACAUCAACAAAUAACAAAAUCCCAUUCAGAUUUACAGAUUUAAAUUUUAUGUAUUUGCGCAGACCUGAAGAGUGGAACCCCACUAUCGGGAUAAAAACGGACUCACUGCUAUUUAUUUAUCCCUAUUAGUUCAAUAUCUACGGUCAAAAAUCCAAGAAUCAAAUACUCGCAUCUAACGUAUAUGUUUGCAAUUAUAAUCGUACCUAAGAGCAAGUAAAACAUUACAAUACGUAACUUUAACACCACUAAUUGCACAACGCAUACUGUACACUCUUUAUGAAUGGCAUAAAUCUUCUGCUAACAAAAGGGAAAACUGAACAUCUCGGAUAGUGACGAAAAGUGGCAGUAAAAACGGCAAUAAUAAACGCUAGUUUUUUUUAACACAAGCAUCUUAGUUUUAUAGUAUUUCAACCUGAACACGCUUAAAUAAUACUGAUCUAUUUAGAACCACUACUACUUUUUUUUUAAACGAAUCUUUUUUUUUUUGUCAUUCUAAUACCGAAAAGUUAGCUCGUGUCUUCUCCUCUCUUUAUGUAAUAGGUAUAAUUUAUGGGACAUAAUUUGAUAAAUAUUUGAUAAUCUACUACCAACAAAUUCUUAUCUGCUAGUUACAAAUGAUAUUUAAUACCUACAAUAUGUAUUGGUUGACCAAAUUAGUUACACACGAAACUUAAACAUAACAUUAUUAAUGGAUUUAUUGACUGUCAGUUACUCACUGUAUGAUUUCUGAAAAUUAUUUGUUUGAAAUGCAUUUAAUUGGUAUGCAAUAGACCUUGGCUGUACUCCGAAUUUGUCAUUUGUCUUUUCCACAAGACUUUUUCAACAAACAAGUCCAAACAGCUAAGAUUAUGAAAUCUUAGAGCUUGCUUCUAAUGACCCAAUAUACAUCCGACAAUAUAUUCUCAAAUGGUAAAUUAAAUCCUGACAAGACAAGUCCAAUUUAAAAAAUGUAUCACCUCCGCUCACCAAACUAUGACUUGAUACAACUGAUAAUAUAAAAUUCUUUGGAAUUACGUACUUCUCUAAGACGUUCAAACGAGUAAAAUUUUACAUGUGACGAGGCAUUUGAAAAAAGCUUUCCGGGUGAUUGCCAUUUCAGUAAAUGAAUAUAAAUUAAUGAAUGUCGUCCAUGACGAUUUUGAAAGCAUAACUACUUGGGCAUCGAUAUUAUUUUAUGAAUAAUUAACAAGACAAUACAAAUUACUCGGGGAUCUGGAAAUAUCUACAUUUAUAAAUGGAAACGUACGUUUGUUUAGAAAUUAGGAAUGUAUCUGAUCAUUAUGUUUUAUUGAGUAUGAAGCUAGCUUACACUAAAAGCGUUAAUCUUCUUCGCCUAUUACUUGGGGUUUCUUGAACGUCGUGUUGUAUCUUUUCUCUAAGCUAUGUACGUGUAUACUUUUCUCAAGCUAUCCUUUUCCCAAACCUACGUGAAUACCUUUAUUCCACUAUUGCUUUACCAUUAUCCUAUUGACAAUCUCUUCUGAUUUCAUUGUCUGUGUAUUAACUCAAAUAUUUUAUGUAUUUUUUGCCACUCCGCUCCGUAUUUGGGAAUUCUUUUUCGUAUUUACUUCUGUUGUUCAAUAUGGAAAAAAGUUAACCAAUCUGCCAAAAACAAUGAAGCACAACUAAUUGCAUUUUAAUCGUAAUUGGAAAUGGAACACACAUUUUUCAAUUCUUCAAUAGAGAUAGCUAUAUACCUGAACAGAUCUGCUCUAAGAAAAGAAAUUCGAAGAAUUUGUAAAUAUGUAUGGAACAUUCGUAAAUACAAACAUAUCCACAUACAUAUUUUACUUUUGAAUAAGCUACUCAAGAUAAUUUAAUCCAUCAUUAUCUAAUUGCUAUGGUAGCUAAAUCAUUUUGUCAACGUAUGAUUACAUUACCGAAACAACAAUAAUCUAAUCAAAUUGCAUGCAUAAUAUUGCAUAUGUGUAUGUACCUAUGUAAUAUUAUUCUGUAAAUUCAUGUAUUACCCUUGAUUUGGAUACUUGGAGAACAACAAAACACUUGCUAAAUGUUAACCCAUGUUCAUGAUGUAGUUCUAUAAUAGAGCACGAAUUAAAUUUUAACAUUUAAACAUGGCAAUACAUAUAAAACAUAUCGAAUUUACAUACAUACAAAAGUGAAAUUUAGCAACACAGCUGCCAAUCUUAAUGUUUUUAUUGAUCAUAAAAGAGCUUCACGAUUCAAACAAAAAGAAAUGCUUUAUUUUAAAGUCAUAGACACACAAGACCACAAAAAUACUUCAUGCUGAGAGCGAAUACUUCUUUAAAUAGUAUUUUUUUUUUAUAUAUUUCUACUUCAUUGCAGUAAAGAAAUAUUUCGAAAUAGUGAAGUCUUCUCUCUGCUUGGUUUGAUAUAUAUUUAUUGGAACACACGGGAAAGCAAGUUUUACUCCCUUUCUACUCUUAUGAUGCUUUUAUUAGGAUUUUGACUCAAACAUCUUUUAUAAAAUCAAUACAUAAUGGAGUAUAAUCGAAACAAUUGUAUAAUCAUAUAAUUAUAUAAUAAAGAUUUCCUGUAUUUGAAUGACUUGUAACAACGUGGAUAAUCAAAUAUACUAGAUACAAUAGAGUUGCCUUUUCUCUAAAGAUUGCAACUGGUAUAUGUAUAAAUACAAUGUACACACAAACGAAUGUUUACUUCAACUUCUGUGGAAAACAUUAUAUGUAUAAAUAACAUGAGCUUAUAAAGACAAACUGCGAUUUUAAAAACCACAAUCUAAUCAACUCUACCCUAAGAGGGAAGUAAAGAAGUAUAUGCAUAAAUCUAAUGAAUAUAUUGAAAUGUCCAUUGAAUUUAAAAGGUCAUCAUAAAAGGUUUUAAUGCGAUUGAAAAGUAUAUACUUCGACGUU